AGGGAAUAUUGGGCAAUGGGCGCAAGCCUGACCCAGCGACGCCGCGUGAGGGAUGAAGGUCUUCGGAUUGUAAACCUCUUUCAGUAGGGAAGAAGCGAAAGUGACGGUACCUAAAGAAGAAGCACCGGCUAACUAUGUGCCAGCAGCCGCGGUAAUACAUAGGGUGCAAGCGUUGUCCGGAAUUAUUGGGCGUAAAGAGCUCGUAGGUCGUUUGUCGCGUCGAUUGUGAAAAUCUGAGGCUCAACCUCAGACCUGCAGUCGAUACGGGCAAACUAGAGUGUGGUAGGGGAGACUGGAAUUCCUGGUGUAGCGGUGGAAUGCGCAGAUAUCAGGAGGAACACCAAUGGCGAAGGCAGGUCUCUGGGCCAUAACUGACACUGAGGAGCGAAAGUGCGGGGAGCGAAC
rnacentral:rRNA from 1 species